rnacentral:rRNA from 1 species
GACGAACGCUGGCGGCGUGCUUAACACAUGCAAGUCGAACGGAAAGGCCCUGCUUUUGUGGGGUGCUCGAGUGGCGAACGGGUGAGUAACACGUGAGUAACCUGCCCUUGACUUUGGGAUAACUUCAGGAAACUGGGGCUAAUACCGGAUAGGAGCUCCUGCUGCAUGGUGGGGGUUGGAAAGUUUCGGCGGUUGGGGAUGGACUCGCGGCUUAUCAGCUUGUUGGUGGGGUAGUGGCUUACCAAGGCUUUGACGGGUAGCCGGCCUGAGAGGGUGACCGGCCACAUUGGGACUGAGAUACGGCCCAAACUCCUACGGGAGGCAGCAGGGGGGAAUAUUGCACAAUGGGCGGAAGCCUGAUGCAGCAACGCCGCGUGCGGGAUGACGGCCUUCGGGUUGUAAACCGCUUUCGCCUGUGACGAAGCGUGAGUGACGGUAAUGGGUAAAGAAGCACCGGCUAACUACGUG